rnacentral:sRNA from 1 species
UUUUUUUUUCUCAACUUCUGAUGAUAAUUUAAGUUCUUGAAAAAAAAACUUUGACCAUCAAAAAUAUGAUAUCUUCUUAAGAUACAUUAAACUAGUCAUUCAUGAAAAUUUCUAUAAGUGAUUAUACCUUUAAAUUAAGUUAUUUAUCAAUCAAUUUAUUUUAUAAAAUAAUC